rnacentral:rRNA from 1 species
GAUCGCAGUCUGCAACUCGACUGCGUGAAGUCGGAAUCGCUAGUAAUCGCGGAUCAGCAUGCCGCGGUGAAUACGUUCCCGGGCCUUGUACACACCGCCCGUCACACCAUGAGAGUCGGGAACACCCGAAGUCCGUAGCCUAACCGCAAGGGGGGCGCGGCCGAAGGUGGGUUCGAUAAUUGGGGUGAAGUCGUAACAAGGUAUC